CCUACGGGUGGCAGCAGUGAGGAAUAUUGGUCAAUGGGCUGACGCCUGAACCAGCCAAGUAGCGUGCAGGAUGACGGCCCUACGGGUUGUAAACUGCUUUUAUACGGGAAUAACGCGCCUUACGUGUAGGGCUUUGCAUGUACCGUGUGAAUAAGGACCGGCUAAUUCCCUGCCAGCCGCCGCGGUAAUACCGAAGGUCCGGGCGUUAUCCGGAUUUAUUGGGUUUAAAGGGAUCGUAGGCCGCAUGUCAAGCGUGCUGUGAAAUGUCCGGGCUCAACCCGGGCCUUGCAGCGCGAACUGGCGUGCUUGAGUCCGCGGAAAGCAGGCGGAAUUCGUGGUGUAGCGGUGAAAUGCUUAGAUAUGACGAAGAACCCCGAUUGCGAAGGCAGCUUGCUGCAGCGGAACUGACGCUGAUGCUCGAAAGCGCGGGUAUCGAACAGGAUUAGAUACCCGGGUAGUC
rnacentral:rRNA from 1 species